rnacentral:misc_RNA from 1 species
GAUGAAGAACGCAGCGAAAUGCGAUAAGUAAUGUGAAUUGCAGAAUUCAGUGAAUCAUCGAAUCUUUGAACGCACAUUGCGCCCAUUAGCAUUCUAGUGGGCAGGCCUGUUCGAGCGUCAUUUCAACCCUUAAGCCCUGUUGCUUAGCGUUGGGAGCCUACAGUACUGUAGCUCCCCAAAGUUAGUGGCGGAGUCGGUUUCACACUCUAGACGUAGUAAUUUUUUCUCGUCUGUAGUUGAGCCGGUCCCCUGCCGUAAAACACCCAAUUUAUCAAGGUUGACCUCGGAUCAGGUAGGAAUACCCGCUGAACUUAAGCAUAUCAAUAAGCGGAGGA